CCUACGGGAGGCAGCAGUAGGGAAUUUUCGUCAAUGGGCGCAAGCCUGAACGAGCAAUGCCGCGUGAACGAGGAAGGUCUUCGGAUCGUAAAGUUCUGUUGAAGGGGAAAAAGAGCGGAGAGAGGAAAUGCUUUCUGAUUGAUAUUACCCUUCGAGGAAGUCACGGCUAACUACGUGCCAGCAGCCGCGGUAAUACGUAGGUGGCGAGCGUUAUCCGGAAUGAUUGGGCGUAAAGGGUGCGUAGGCGGCCUGCUAAGUCUGGAGUGAAAGGUACCGGCUCAACCGGUACAGGCUCUGGAAACUGGCGGGCUAGAGAGCAGGAGAGGGCGGUGGAACUCCAUGUGUAGCGGUAAAAUGCGUAGAUAUAUGGAAGAACACCGAUUGCGAAGGCAGCGUACCGGCGCCAGACUGACGCUGAGGCACGAAAGCGUGGGGAUCGAACAGGAUUAGAUACCCCAGUAGUC
rnacentral:rRNA from 1 species